rnacentral:rRNA from 1 species
UACGUAGGUGGCUAGCGUUACUCGGAAUUACUAGGUGUAAAGCGCAGGUAGGUGGUUUGAUAAGUUGAUGGUGAAAGCUCCGAUAAAAUCGGAGAUGCCCUUCAAUACUGUCGAACUUGAGUAUAGAAUGGGGAACCAGAAUUCCCGGUGUAGCGGUGAAAUGCGUAAAUAUCGGGAGGAAUACCGAUGGCGAAGGCGGGUUCCUGGGCUAUUACUGACACUGAGCUGCGAAGACGUGGGGAGCA